AACAAACGCUGGCGGCGUGCCUAAUACAUGCAAGUCGAACGAGGAAGUACCUUCGGGUAUUGUACUAGUGGCGCACGGGUGAGUAACGCGUGGAUAAUCUUCCUUAAGGUGGGGAAUAACUAGUCGAAAGAUUAGCUAAUACCGCAUAAGACCACAAACUCUUCGGAGUAAGGGGUUAAAGACUUCGGUCGCCUUUAGAUGAGUCUGCGCUCGAUUAGCUAGUUGGUGAGGUAAUAGCUCACCAAGGCGACGAUCGAUAGGUGGUCUGAGAGGACGGCCACCCACACUGGGACUGAGACACGGCCCAGACUCCUACGGGAGGCAGCAGUAGGGAAUAUUGCACAAUGGAGGAAACUCUGAUGCAGCGACGCCGCGUGAGUGACGAAGGCCUUCGGGUUGUAAAGCUCUGUUCUCAGGGAAAAAGAAAGUGAUUGUACCUGAGAAGAAAGGACCGGCUAACUUCGUGCCAGCAGCCGCAGUAAAAC
rnacentral:rRNA from 1 species